GCUAGGUGGCACUGGAUUCGCGGAGGGCGAGGCAGAAGGGUGCCGGCACUGUGGGAAAAGAAAAGCGCGCCGUCGGGGUGAGAAUUUGGAGGCCAUAAAGUAUGCCUCUUUAGCUAUCGAAAUCACGUCCGCGGUGCCUUUCUACAUAUUCGGGAGUUUUAGCAGCGCGUUCGAGACGCCAUUUGCGCUGCAAGCAAGCGCUUGCGGGAGAUCCAUGGAGCGAUUUCGUGAUCCGCCUUUUAGUACCACUUUUCGUAAGUUGGAGUGCGCGUGUACUAUACUGUACUAUAUACAAGGAGAUAUUGUGUGUCUGUGUGAGAGAGAGAGAGAGAGAGAGAGAAAGGCAAAAGAAAGACAGGGAGGUUAACCAGAGACUAUCUCUGGUUGGCUACCCUGUACUGGGGGAGGGGCAAGGGGAUGCAAUAGGUGAGAAAGAAAGAAGGUUUAAAAAAAGGAAAAAAAAAAGAACCUAAGCACACACACACGCACGUACACACGAACUCUUUCUGUGGGCACUGUCACAGAGCCCGCAAAGGCGUUCUAGUCUUACGCAGUGUCACCGUACAGUCCUACGUCACACAGUGUACAUAGGAGAGAGUGUACGUGUGAGAGUGAUCACGUUGUAUUGCAGGACCAAUUGUUCCUGAUUGAGCAGUGGUGUCGAACUUGGGAUAUGGAAAUUAAUGUGCAAAAAAAGUCUUAUUAACAGUUAUAGGUAAAUUACAGCCUAGUUAUUAUUCUUAUAGUCUCUGUAGCCAAGAAGUAGCAACUGUCACAAGCUAUAAGUAUUUAGGCGUUACACUUACGUCUAAGUUAUCCUGGUCAGGGCACGUUUCAGAUAUAUGUGCAUCAGCAUUUAAGAAGUUGUGUUUCCUAAGAAGGGAACUAAACAAAGCUCCAGCAAAGUUAAAGUUACUAGCGUACAAUACUUACAUAAGGUCGAAAUUAGAAUACGCUUGCGUAAUUGGGGAUCCCGAAACUAAGCAGGAUAUAUAUAAACUUGAGAUGUUGCAAAGAAAAGCAAUCCGAUUCAUUUUUGAUAAAUAUGAAAGGUGUGACUCCCCUACUAAACUUAUGCAAGAACACGGGAUUGCAACAUUACAAGUACACAUAUAUGGGACGGGCUUUCCAUAUAUCGGAAACGUCUUCGUUCUUUAAAAAGGUGCAGAAAACAAAUACGUGGGCCUUUGUUCCAGUGAUGCAAGCUACUGUCAUUCGUGAAAUUGUUCCACGUUCCUGUACCCGCUGUCCAGAACAUUUUCUCGCACACUCCUCUUUCGAGCCGUGUUUAAGUGUACGCUAUGCAUCGUCCCACGUGCUGCUGGGACCUAAAUAUAACGAGUUUGGGAAUACAUGUGCCGGCUGUCAAGAAGCCGGCGCCGGCCCUGCCGCCUCUGCAACUACGCAAAUAAACUCUAUCAGGACUUCUUACUUAUUUUAAAACGGGUUUUGAAGAACAGCGAAUGCAACAACAACCAAAAAAAGAACGAUCGGAUAUAAAGAAAACGUGAAAAACUGGAGAAGCUCUCUGAUUCUCAAAAAAAAAAAAAAAGACAAAGGAUAUGUGCUAUAGCACGGCGCCGGAAACAAAAGAAACACGGCUAUUCAAGAUUGCUUCAAAACAAUAUUCCGUGUCUGUGCGCAUGAGUCACCUACAGCACCUGUCUCGGCGCACUUGUUCGCAGUCGCGUCGGAUUUAGCAAGGUAAGGUCAAAUGACCUCCCACGAAAACGUCUCCCGCGAACGACGCAGAUUUCCGCGGUGACUCCCUCGUUUCCUCGCGCCUCGUAUACCGCGAAGCACUUGCGCAGUAACGCGAGCUAAAUUUAUUCACGCGGGACAACACUGCUGACACGUAUUUGCAUGUACCUCUAUGUAUAUAUACAUACAGUAUAACCGCCGUUAUUGUCUGAUGCAUUGAGCCGUCAGCGUGCGUUGCAUCGGUGCAAACAGAUGCUCCCGGCCGCCUCCUCGUCAGUUGCGUGCAGUACAGAAAAAAAACUGGUGCAACGACUGUUCCUAUAAUUUGGUAGACUUAAUUUUUUCGCGUGCCUGUGCAGGCAGUAUGGGAUGUUCCUACAGUCUCUUGCGCCCUCUAUAUAUACAAAUAAAGAUGCACAAUAGCUGUAAUUGUUUCGACAGAUUGUCUACCUUCAAGAAAAUUUCAUUGCCUUUCUAUAUAUACUGUAAUACGCAUAAUAUGCGGUCAACAGACUGCGUACGAAAAAAAAUUUAUUAGUCCCUUUUUCACAGGAAUUGGUGAAUUGGUCAAAACACGAAUGUGAGAACGUAUUCCAAGAGGCAGGGGCAGCUUCGUUACCCAUUCACACAUACAAGUCUAUAGAUGUCCGCAGUUUAUUAUAAAUUACAGUUUGGCUCGAAGGGCGACGCAGCGACAACGAGCACUCCAGGCCUGUGACACUGUGCAGCGUAAGCAGCACUCCGGAGGCUGUAGGAGCGCCAUAACUACAUCCGACGCGACGCCUAGUGCGUAUGUGGCGAAACUGCGUCGUUCUAGCCCACGUCGCGUUUUUCGCGAGAGAAAAGGAGACCCGCAAUAACCUCCCACGCCGCCACUGACGCGAGAGCAAGCGCACGAAGGAACGCAAACGCGUCGUGGACAUGGCGUUGUUCGAGCUCAGUCAUGAGGCCCUCGUUAACGUGAGUGCUUCUGCUGCUCCUGACGUUCCAGCUGUAGUGUUUAGGGCAGCUUAUAAUCUCCCAAAGCUGCGCACAUUGCACCGCAUAGCAGCAGCAGCAAGCAACACGUGACUCGGGGCUCCAAGGCGACGGGCUGCGCACACAGUUUCGUGCCAGAUUUCACGAGCCAGCAGACGUCAAAGCCACAGUCCGCGCAGCUGCCGCAGCGUCCUUGUUUUAUUCAUAGUUUCUUUUCUUUCCCCCAUUUCUCUGAGUCAGCACUAUAAGCGAAUAAAUCCUUUUUUUUUUU